rnacentral:tRNA from 1 species
GGGGUCGUGGCUCAGAGGAAGAGCACUCACCAGCACGUGUGAGGCCCUGGGUUCAAUCCUCAGCACCACA